UAUGGGGGAUAACGUAGCGAAAGUUACGCUAAUACCGCAUAUGCCCUGAGGGGAAAGGUGGGGAUCGCAAGACCUAUCGUUUUCGGAGUGGCCGAUAUCAGAUUAGCUAGUUGGUGAGGUAAAGGCUCACCAAGGCGACGAUCUGUAGCUGGUCUGAGAGGACGACCAGCCACACUGGGACUGAGACACGGCCCAGACUCCUACGGGAGGCAGCAGUGGGGAAUUUUGGACAAUGGGGGCAACCCUGAUCCAGCCAUGCCGCGUGAGUGAAGAAGGCCUUCGGGUUGUAAAGCUCUUUCAGACGGAAAGAAAUCGCUAUUCCUAAUAUGAGUGGUGGAUGACGGUACCGUCAGAAGAAGCACCGGCUAACUACGUGCCAGCAGCCGCGGUAAUACGUAGGGUGCGAGCGUUAAUCGGAAUUACUGGGCGUAAAGCGUGCGCAGGCGGUUUUGUAAGACAGACGUGAAAUCCCCGGGCUUAACCUGGGAACUGCGUUUGUGACUGCAAGGCUAGAGUACGGCAGAGGGGGGUAGAAUUCCA
rnacentral:rRNA from 1 species